AUGGCGCCUCCGUCGAUGCACGAGAAGGUGGAGAAGAUCAGGGACAGGGCCACCAACGAGACCAUCGCGCUCAAGAAGAUCCGCCUCCAGCAGGAGGACGAUGGCGUCCCCUCCACCGCCAUCCAUGAGAUCUCCCUCCUCAAGGUGAUGCAGCACCAGAACAUCGUCAGGCUGCAAGACGUGGUGCAUAACAAGAAGUCUCAAGUGUGA
rnacentral:rRNA from 1 species